AGCGAACGCUGGCGGCAGGCUUAACACAUGCAAGUCGAGCGGGCAUCUUCGGAUGUCAGCGGCAGACGGGUGAGUAACACGUGGGAACGUACCCUUCGGUUCGGAACAACUCUGGGAAACUGGAGCUAAUACCGGAUACGCCCUUAUGGGGAAAGGUUUACUGCCGAAGGAUCGGCCGGCGUCUGAUUAGCUUGUUGGUGGGGUAACGGCCUACCAAGGCGACGAUCAGUAGCUGGUCUGAGAGGAUGAUCAGCCACACUGGGACUGAGACACGGCACAGACUCCUACGGGAGGCGGCAGUGGGGAAUAUUGGACAAUGGGCGCAAGCCUGAUCCAGCCAUGCCGCGUGAGUGAUGAAGGCCUUAGGGUUGUAAAGCUCUUUUGUCCGGGACGAUAAUGACGGUACCGGAAGAAUAAGCCCCGGCUAACUUCGUG
rnacentral:rRNA from 1 species